UUAAUGUUGUCGAAGGUGUUUAAUAUAGUGUUUAUGGUUAGGACUCUUGCAAUUUUACUUUCAAUUUUUUUGCAUUCCAAAUUCGUAUUGCAGAUCUGUUGUUUUUAAUUUAAAACUUAUAAAUUCAGAUCUGAAGUUAGUAUUGCAGAUCUGAAUUUCAACUAUAUCAAAUCUCACAAUAUUGCAAUCUCUUUUUGUCUCUCGUUCACUUCCAAAAACCCUAGAUUUCAAAGAUCUGAAGAUACAACUCUAUCAAAUCUCAUAGUUUCAGAUUUGCAUGAGAUGCUAGGUGUGGUCUGUUGCUUUUUUCUGAUGUGUGUAGUGAGGCAUGUGUGGUCCGUUGUUUUUUUUAUUUUAUUUUAUUUGAAAUGUUGAUGUCUAUCAUUUAAUCUAUGCUCUGCUUUAUCUUAGUUCGAUAUUAAAGGUCUUAUAUUCUUCAACUGUUUUAUGUAAAUAAAUAUAUCUUUUUUUGAGCAGCUGUCCUUGUUUGUGGGUGGUAUAUUAAAGGGUCAUAUACUGGAUGGAUGUUAUCUCCAAUAGUUGGGUCAUAUAUGGAGCAGAUCAUGAUAUAAUGUGGCUCCAAAAGGACUUUGGCAUACAUAUCUGCAAUUUGUUUUGACACCAGGUAGGUCUUUGUUUUCCUAUGAGAUUAUUGAUCAAAUGAAGUGUAAAUGAGAAGGAAUAAUUUUUAUACAGAAUUUUUAUCUUUUUUUCUAAUAGAGUAAUUCUAUACAAACAUAAUUUUUAUGCGGAAUUUUCAUAGGCUUUUUUGUGGUCCUUUCAUUUCAAGCAAAAACCCAUCAUUGCAGUCCAUAAUUAAAAAAAUGCCACUGUCUCAUCAUUUUGGAUGGAUUUUCUCUGAAAAAUUUUUUUUUUGGGUGUCAUUUUCCUUCUUCAUAAUUAGAAAAGUAAUACUUAGAAUGCUGCAGAGCCUCCCAUUUUGUGACCUUUGAACAAAGCCUCAUUGUUGUUGUGUACAUUUUUUGUCAUUCUCUGGAUACGAAACCCCCUCACUGGAAGCUUUGCAAAGGCUUUGAGAAAAGUUCAAAU